rnacentral:lncRNA from 1 species
CAAACACAACACCAGUGUAUAUGCGACAUGCCAAAUGGAACGCCCGAACUAUGUGGCCCCUGGAAGAGCUAUGAAACGAGUACUAAGCCGAGGGGGAACCCAUAUAUUCUCCCACGAGCGGUUAGCGCGAAGUUUCUUGGGUCGGUGAAAACGAGAACUCAGUCCUUAGGUCGGCGCCAAUGGAACAAAACACCAAUGCGUUAGCA